rnacentral:misc_RNA from 1 species
UUAAAAUAUUUCAAAGGUUCAAAAUUUGUUCAGACAGAUUCCAUAAGUUUAAAAACUCGGAGGUUAUUUUAGCCUUCCGCCAGGCACGCCGUGAAUCCAGCGCCAGCAGCACCUUGGAGGAGGAGAGAGGGGGUCUCACGAACCUCCAAAACGCUCACCGGACGCCCAGCGGAAGCAACGGGAUUCGGUACACAGGGUGGGUUUUCAUACAGUACAUGCAGAUGCACGACCGGACUACACGAUAAUGAUCCUUCCGCAGGUUCACCUACGGAAA